AUAUUACUAAGCGGAGGAAAAGAAACUAACAAGGAUUGCCUCAGUAACGGCGAGUGAACCGGCAUCAGCCCAGACUGGAAAUCGCUUCGGCGAAUUGUACAGUUUAGACAUGGACCUUACACAGCGGCGCAGGUGUAACUCAGUUGGAACGCUGGACCGUAGAGGGUGAUAGUCCCGUGCCACUUGUGCCAAGUGAGAGGUCGUGUUCAACGAGUCGGGUAGCUUGGGACUGCUGCCCUAAUUGGGAGGUAGACUUCUUCUAAGGCUAAAUACUCACAAGAGACCGAUAGCGCACAAGUA
rnacentral:rRNA from 1 species